UACGUAGGGUGCAAGCGUUGUCCGGAAUUAUUGGGCGUAAAGAGCGUGUAGGCGGCCCGAUUAGUCCGCUGUGAAAGUCCAGGGCUCAACCCUGGAAUGCCGGUGGAAACUGUCGGGCUAGAGUCCGGAAGGGGCGAGUGGAAUUCCUGGUGUAGCGGUGAAAUGCGCAGAUAUCAGGAGGAACACCGGUGGCGAAGGCGGCUUGCUGGGCCAGUUCUGACGCUGGAGGAGCGAAAGCGUGGGGAGCGAACAGG
rnacentral:rRNA from 1 species